CAAGUGGUGAAUAGUCUCUUUUAAUGAUGAUAGUAUACCGGUAAGUGCAUAGUUCAACUGACUUUUGAUUGAAGAAAAAAAUACCAUUGAAAUUAGUCUUUCGCUCCUAUCUGAAUUGAGACAUCACUUG
rnacentral:snoRNA from 1 species